rnacentral:tRNA from 1 species
GCCCCGGUAGCUCAGCUGGAUAGAGCCGGUGUCUGACUAACGCCGAGGUCGUGGGUUCGAGUCCAACCCGGGGCGCCU